rfam:Desulfotomaculum hydrothermale Lam5 = DSM 18033, WGS project CAOS01000000 data, contig: ABX_2590_11
UGGCGAAGCACCGGUAACAGCACUGGAUGAGCGCAGGAGCCCUUGGGGCGGCGCCCACAGGACGUGGGCGCCAGCCGAACCGGGCCAGGAGGGCCCGUUUGAGGCGACCCCAAGGGCGAACGGAGCGAAUCUUAGUGCUGUCGGUGCGAAGACC